AUGACUAUCGUCAGCAAAUACCUAGUGCCGAUCAUCGAUGAUCUUUUAGAUGAAUUGGUGGGUGCCCGUUGGUUUUCCAAGCUGGAUUUGCGUGCAGGGUACCAUCAGAUCUGUAUGGUUGAAGGUGAAAAAAAUAAGACAACAUUCACCACACAUUCAGGCCAUUGGGUAUUCCUAGUUAUGUCCUUUGGACUAGCAGGCGGAUCGGCCACUUUUAAUGGAGCCAUGACAACCACAUUGCAUCCAUUGCUGCGUGUUUGUGUGCUGGUCCUUUUCGAUGACAUUUUGGUCUUCAGCAAGACACUGUUGGAUCAUGUAUCUCACCUCAAGCAAGUGUUACAGCUCCUACGCAAAGAUGGCUGGCAAGUGAAACAGUCCAAAUGCUCUUUUGGUCAACAGCAAAUUGCUUAUUUAGGGCAUGUGAUCAAUGCUGAUGGGGUGUCGACUGAUCGAAGUAAAAUUGAUUCCAUUAGAAACUGGUCGGUGCCAACAUCUGCCAAAGAAGUGCGCAGCUUCUUGGGUCUUGCGGGAUAUUACCGGAAAUUUGUCAAGCACUUCGGCGAGGCCACUGUUCAAUCUGCUGAAGAAACACCAACCUUUUGUUUGGACGGAGGACACGCCGAAAGCUUUCACUCUGUUACAGCAAGGUCUCAUUUCAGCACCUGUCUUGCAACUGCCGGAUUUCUUCAAACAAUUUGUGAUUGA
rnacentral:rRNA from 1 species